UCGAGAAUCAUUCGCAAUGGGCGAAAGCCUGACGGUGCGACGCCGCGUGGAGGAUGAAGGCCCUAGGGUCGUAAACUCCUGUCAUCAGGGAGUAAUGGCUCAUAUAGUAACUGAUAUGGGUCUUGAUAGUACCUGAAGAGGAAGGGACGGCAAACUUCGUGCCAGCAGCCGCGGUAAUACGAAGGUCCCAAGCGUUGUUCGGAUUUACUGGGCGUAAAGAGUCUGUAGGCGGUGGGGUAAGUCAGAUGUGAAAUCCCGGGGCUCAACCCCGGAACUGCAUCCGAUACUGCCUUACUUGAGGGUCGGAGGGGAGUCUGGAAUUCUCGGUGUAGCAGUGAAAUGCGUAGAUAUCGAGAGGAACACUAGUGGCGAAGGCGAGACUCUGGACGACAACUGACGCUGAGAGACGAAGGCCAGGGGAGCGAAAAGGAUUAGAUACCCACGUAGUCCCUGAGCGGGCUGGCAAGGCGCAU
rnacentral:rRNA from 1 species